rnacentral:rRNA from 1 species
UUCGGCGACCAUACUAUGCUGAAAACACAGGUUCUCGUCGGACCACCGAAGUUGAGCAAUGCUGGGGCCAGUUAGUACUUGCAUGAGUGACCGGCUGGGAAUACCGGGUGUUGCCGGCU